rnacentral:rRNA from 1 species
UACGAAGGGUGCAAACGUUGCUCGGAAUUAUUGGGCGUAAAGCGCACGUAGGCGGCCUUGUAAGUCGGAUGUGAAAUCCCUCGGCUUAACCGAGGACGUGCAUCCGAAACUGUGAGGCUCGAGUAUGGAAGAGGGUCGCAGAAUUCCCCGGUGUAGAGGUGAAAUUCGUAGAUAUCGGGAGGAAUACCAGUGGCGAAGGCGGCGACCUGGGCCAAUACUGACGCUGAGGAGCGAAAGCCAGGGGAGCAAACGGG